rnacentral:rRNA from 1 species
AUGCCUGGGUAAAUCGUAUAGCUCAACUAUACGAAUUCUGGGUAGACUGUCAAGCUUGAGACCGGGAGAGGCUAGAGGUACUCCUGGGGUAGAGGUGAAAUUCUGUAAUCCUAGGGGGACCACCAGUGGCGAAGGCGUCUAGCUAGAACGGGUCUGACGGUCAGGGACGAAGCCCUGGGGCGCGAACCGGAUUAGAUACCCGGGUAGUCCAGGGUGUAAACGCUGCUUGCUUGAUGUUAGUUGGGCUCCGAGCCCAAUUAGUGUCGGAGAGAAGUUGUUAAGCAAGCUGCCUGGGAAGUACGGUCGCAAGACUGAAACUUAAAGGAAUUGGUGGGGGAGCACAGCAACGGGUGGAGCGUGCGGUUUAAUUGGAUUCAACGCCGGAAAACUCACCGGAGGCGACGGUUACAUGAAGGCCAGGCUGAUGACCUUGCCUGAUUUUCCGAGAGGUGGUGCAUGGCCGCCGUCAGUUCGUACCGUAAGGCGUUCUGUUAAGUCAGAUAACGAACGAGACCCUCAUCUUUAAUUGCUACUAGUAAGUCCGCUUACUGGGCACAUUAGAGGGACCGCUGGCGAUAAGUCAGAGGAAGGCGGGGGCAACGGUAGGUCAGUAUGCCCUGAAUCCUCCGGGCUACACGCGCGCUACAAAGGCUAGGACAAUGAGUUUCGACACCGAGAGGUGAAGGUAAUCUCGAAACCUAGUUAUAGUUCGGAUUGAGGGUUGAAACUCACCCUCAUGAAGCUGGAAUCCGUAGU